rnacentral:rRNA from 1 species
UUGAACGCUGGCGGCAUGCCUUACACAUGCCAGUCGCACGGUAACAGGUUAAGCUGACGAGUGGCGAACGGGUGAGUAAUGUAUCGGAACGUGCCCAGUCGUGGGGGAUAACUGCUCGAAAGAGCAGCUAAUACCGCAUACGACCUGAGGGUGAAAGCGGGGGAUCGCAAGACCUCGCGCGAUUGGAGCGGCCGAUAUCAGAUUAGGUAGUUGGUGAGGUAAAGGCUCACCAAGCCGACGAUCUGUAGCUGGUCUGAGAGGACGACCAGCCACACUGGGACUGAGACACGGCCCAGACUCCUACGGGAGGCAGCAGUGGGGAAUUUUGGACAAUGGGCGCAAGCCUGAUCCAGCCAUGCCGCGUGCGGGAAGAAGGCCUUCGGGUUGUAAACCGCUUUUGUCAGGGAAGAAAAGGUUCUGGCUAAUACCUGGGACUCAUGACGGUACCUGAAGAAUAAGCACCGGCUAACUACGUG